rnacentral:rRNA from 1 species
CAGUAGCCGCGGUAAUACGAAGGGUGCAAGCGUUAAUCGGAAUUACUGGGCGUAAAGCGUGCGUAGGCGGUUUGUUAAGUCUGUUGUGAAAUCCCCGGGCUCAACCUGGGAAUGGCAAUGGAUACUGGCAAGCUAGAGUGUGUCAGAGGAUGGUGGAAUUCCCGGUGUAGCGGUGAAAUGCGUAGAGAUCGGGAGGAACAUCAGUGGCGAAGGCGGCCAUCUGGGACAACACUGACGCUGAGGCACGAAAGCGUGGGGAGCAAACAGGAUUAGAUACCCGCGUAGUCCCUGUCUCUUAUAC